AGAGUUUGAUCCUGGCUCAGAACGAACGCUGGCGGCAGGCUUAACACAUGCAAGUCGAACGCUCCGCAAGGAGGGUGGCAGACGGGUGAGUAACGCGUGGGAAUCUACCUAGUUCUACGGAACAACACAGGGAAACUUGUGCUAAUACCGUAUACGCCCUACGGGGGAAAGAUUUAUCGGAAUUAGAUGAGCCCGCGUAAGAUUGGCUAGUUGGUGGGGUAAUGGCCUACCAAGGCGACGAUCUUUAGCUGGUCUGAGAGGAUGAUCAGCCACACUGGGACUGAGACACGGCCCAGACUCCUACGGGAGGCAGCAGUGGGGAAUAUUGGACAAUGGGCGCAAGCCUGAUCCAGCCAUGCCGCGUGAGUGAUGAAGGCCUUAGGGUUGUAAAGCUCUUUCAGUAGGGAAGAUAAUGACGGUACCUACAGAAGAAGCCCCGGCUAACUCCGUGCCAGCAGCCGCGGUAAUACGGAGGGUGCAAGCGUUGUCCGGAUUUAUUGGGUUUAAAGGGUGCGUAGGCGGUUGAUUAAGUCAGCGGUGAAAGUUUUGGGCUCAACCCAGAAAUUGCCAUUGAUACUGGUCGACUUGAGUAUUGCAGGGGUACAUGGAAUUGAUGGUGUAGCGGUGAAAUGCAUAGAUACCAUCAGGAACACCGAUAGCAAAGGCAUUGUACUGGGCAACCACUGACGCUGAUGCACGAAAGCAUGGGGAGCGAACAGGAUUAGAUACCCUGGUAGUCC
rnacentral:rRNA from 1 species